rfam:Dialister sp. CAG:357 genomic scaffold, scf158
AAUCUUUGAGGUGGUAAAAUUCGCCGCGGCCACACACCCGACCCGGGUCAGAAGAGAUGCAGGAGAGGCGGCGCCUGCCGAAGGUU